CUCUCCGUCUCUUUCUCUGCUCUCACUUUACCUUUCAAACCUAGCAGUUUCUUCACCCUUCAAACCCCUAGCAGUUUCUUCAUUGCCGUCAUCUCUUUGCAAAUCCAUUCAACAUCUCGUCGGUGAAUGUUUUGAAUCGAAGGUGAAGUCGAAGAUUUGAAGACUUUUUCGACAAUGUUUAUCAGAUGCUCUUGAUUUGAAGACUCUUAGUGAAGGUCAUGGAUGUUUUGAUGUCACUGCAACAAUCUCAAUUGGAUGCUGAUGAUCCAACUACAAGCUACCUGUUAUAAGUAUAAUCCUUUUUUCCUUCCAUGCCCUGUCUGUUCAGGUUUACUUUCCCUGUCUGUUCAGGUUUACUUAACUAUCUAUUCAGAUUUUCUUGAUUAUCGUGAUUCUUAUGGACUGUGCAUAGAUGUGUUACUGAAUUCACAAUUAUACAGCGCAGUUGAAAUUAGCUUAUGCUGAAGCUUCAUCUAAAUUAAACUGUAAGUAUAAUUUGACAGAGGCAUUUUUGUUUGUCGCAUUUUGUCGGGGAUGUACAUCAGAUCUCAAUGCUUCUCAAGUUUCAAACGCCACAGUUGCUGCUUCACGUCGAUACCGCCCGUGAAGCUUCCGGACCAAUAUGUAAUUUAGAAUGGCUUAUAACAUUAAUACAAACCAGUUAUAAUGAAUGCUUAUAUUAUUUGCUCACUCCUUGGAAGUUUUGUGCAUUGGUUUGUAUCUAUCUCAAUCUGUAUAUAUUAUUUAAGGAAUGGGAUCCCAAUACGAUUCGAGAUAUUUGCUUCUUACUUUAUAGAAUAGGUGUCAUAUUUUCCAUAUUUGAUUCAUUAUAGAUUCAAAAUGUUAUAUGAAAGCGCAUAAACACGUCAAUGCUAUUUGUAGGUGAGUCACAUCUCCGUGUUGUCGCCCAAUCGUAUGGGCUUGAAUGACAAGGAUAUUGUUGCACUGUAUGGGGCACAUACACUGGUGAUUCUUCUUUCGUAUAUAUCUUUUUAUUACAUGCUGUGAUUGCAGAAUUAUGCUGGCAAGAUGCUGUGACGAGCGUGUUGUUACUGUAUACAGUUCGAGUGGCGAGACGAAUGCUUUUGAUGAUGGUGGUAAGAAUGUGUCUCAUGCGGAAGAUGCUUUGUUUAAGAUUCAUGAUAGAGUGGUUGCUGAGGAAUUACACAGUGAUCAGGAGGAAGAAUGCGGUCCUCAAGUGACUGCUAGGCUGUUAGUGUCGGCUGUCAGAUAGGAUGUGUUCUUGGAAAAAGCGGGCAGAUUGUUCAGACCAUGCGCAGUGAAACUAAGGCUCAUAUUCGUAUACUUAAGGAUGACCAUAUGCCUCUAUGUGCCUUGCGCUCUGAUGACCUGGUGCAGAUUUCCGGGGAUACUGCAGUUGUGAAAAAGGCUUUGCAUCAAAUUGCAUCUCGACUUCACCUUAACCCUUCUCGAACUCAGCAUCUGCUUGCGUUUUUUGUUCCUGGCGGAUAUCAAAGUGGUGGUUCACUCUUGGGUCCAACUGCAGGACCUCCGAUCGUGGGGAUCACUCCUCUUGCUGGUUCCUAUGGGGAUAUAAAGGUGACACUGGUGACUGGCCGCAGUCUAUGUACUCGGCUCCCAGGGAUGAAAUUUCACCCAUGGAGUUUACAAUUCGUUUGGUUUGCCCAACUAGAAACCUUGGGGGCGUAAUAGGUAAAGGUGGUGCCAUAAUAAAUCAAAUUGGGCAGGAAUCUGGUGCAACAAUCAAAGUUGAUAGUUCUGCAAAUGAGAUGAAUGCUUAAUAACCAUUGCAAGAGGUGAACUAUUAAUCACCAGUGGGUCAUUUUUCUUUUUCAUUCUAUAAAAUUGUGGUAAUGUUUGUACUGGAUGGAUUUGUGAGAUUUCAUAAAAUAUCCUAAUUACGAUAUCAAUUAAAGGGGAAUGUUAUUUCCUAGCUUGCAAUCUUUGUUUUUCUCUUAAAAAACUUAUUUAUGUUAUAUUAAUAUUUUCUGAGUUAUGCUAAUGCAGUUCUUUGAAGAAAAUUUCUCUCAAACAAUAGAAGCUUCCAAUGGCGGAGAAC